rnacentral:rRNA from 1 species
GAGUUUGAUCCUGGCUCAGGAUGAACGCUGGCGGCGUGCUUAACACAUGCAAGUCGAACGGGAAACAUUUUAUUGAAGCUUCGGCAGAUUUAGUUUGUUUCUAGUGGCGGACGGGUGAGUAACGCGUGGGUAACCUGCCUCACACUGGGGGAUAACAGUCAGAAAUGACUGCUAAUACCGCAUAAGCGCACGAAACCGCAUGGUUUUGUGUGAAAAACUCCGGUGGUGUGAGAUGGACCCGCGUUGGAUUAGCCAGUUGGCAGGGUAACGGCCUACCAAAGCGACGAUCCAUAGCCGGCCUGAGAGGGUGAACGGCCACAUUGGGACUGAGACACGGCCCAGACUCCUACGGGAGGCAGCAGUGGGGAAUAUUGCACAAUGGGGGAAACCCUGAUGCAGCGACGCCGCGUGAAGGAAGAAGUAUCUCGGUAUGUAAACUUCUAUCAGCAGGGAAGAAAAUGACGGUACCUGACUAAGAAGCCCCGGCUAACUACGUGCCAGCAGCCGCGGUAAUACGUAGGGGGCAAGCGUUAUCCGGAUUUACUGGGUGUAAAGGGAGCGUAGACGGAAUGGCAAGUCUGAUGUGAAAGGCAGGGGCUCAACCCCUGGACUGCAUUGGAAACUGUCAGUCUUGAGUACCGGAGGGGUAAGCGGAAUUCCUAGUGUAGCGGUGAAAUGCGUAGAGAUUAGGAGGAACACCAGUGGCGAAGGCGGCUUUCUGGACAGUAACUGACGCUGAGGCGCGAAAGCGUGGGGAGCAAACCAGGAUUAGAUACCCUGGUAGUCCACGCCGUAAACG